rnacentral:rRNA from 1 species
CCUACGGGUGGCAGCAGUGAGGAAUAUUGGUCAAUGGGCGCGAGCCUGAACCAGCCAAGUAGCGUGAAGGAUGACUGCCCUACGGGUUGUACACUUCUUUUAUAAAGGAAUAAAGUGAGGCACGUGUGCCUUUUUGUAUGUACUUUAUGAAUAAGGAUCGGCUAACUCCGUGCCAGCAGGCGCGGUAAGUCGGAGGAUCCGAGCGUUAUCCGGAUUUAUUGGGUUUAAAGGGAGCGUAGGUGGGUUGUUAAGUCAGUUGUGAAAGUUUGCGGCUCAACCGUAAAAUUGCAAUUGAUACUGGCAGUCUUGAGUACAGUUGAGGUAGGCGGAAUGCGUGGUGUAGCGGUGAAAUGCUUAGAUAUCACGCAGAACUCCGAUUGCGAAGGCGGCUUGCUGGGUCGAUACUGACAUUGAGGCACGAAAGCGUGGGGAGCAAACAGGAUUAGAUACCCGAGUAGUC